ACAAUUUAACCGUAGCCAAGUUAUACUUGUUUCUCUGUGUAUCUGUGCUUGAACAUCAUGACUGACUUUGAGGGACAGAAGGAGGAGCAGCGGCGGGAGGUGGCACUCACUUUUCCAGAACAAGAAGUUCCCAACCCACACCCGCAGGAGGAGCAGCUGCCCUACCCGACCCUGGCCCCUGUAGUUUUCCACUGCUUAAAACAGACCACAAGACUCCGUAACUGGUGUCUGCAAGU